ACUCGGAAGACGCGGCGUUCUGACGCAGCGGCCUUUCGGAGGCGUUUCGGGGAGGAAACGUCCGCUCCGUAGAGAGCGAAAGAAAGCCCGCCGCGAUGUAUCCCCCGCGGCGGGCUUUUUCGUGCCCGGAC
rnacentral:sRNA from 1 species